CCAGAGAGGGCACAUGUGCCUCAAUUGGCCUAUAGCAUAGCGACUCAUUAUCCUUCCACCGCUGGUGGCGGGCGGUACUCGCUGCUCUGUGAAGCCAACCUCACGCAAUGUCCGCCACUUUAGGUGUUGGGAUGCAAAGGCUUUCGCCAAGGCAUCCGAAACCCACUACACAACUUGGAAUGGGUGGUCCACAGUUUGUAGCACUAGACCCAGGCACAUGCACCACAAUUAACAUUCACACUACCUUAUUGCCCCCGCUCGGGUUACAAGCAAUCGCUACUUGCUCAGCGAGUGAGGGGGUUCAAGACUACCUAUUUAAGGUGGUGUUGUACUGUAUGAGCCGGCGGUGUGGUAUUUACCAACUACAAAUAGUGUCAUGCAUGUGACUUGCUAGUUGACAAUGUCUGUUGUCGAGCUAGAUGUGGGCUAUGGAUGAAGCACAUUAGGAUAUAGUAGGCCUAUUUUGUUUUUUGUUGUUUUUGGGACACUAUGGACUUUAUGUUGAUGUUGUGAAAUUUUUUCUUGUGUUUCCUUUUCCUACGAUGUGGAAAGUGGGUGCGUCAGAGAAGAAAGAAAGAGUGGCUAGCAUUGAUUUUACGUCAUACCGUUGAGAACACUAAUCAGAAGCAGAAGCAACAAUAUUUCAUACAUAUACAACACUUGUAAUCCAUAUAAACAACUUUCCUUUAAAAUAUAAGAUAAACCACAUGAUUUAUAUCCUGGGUCGGCUAUCUCCACAAAGGGCAAGAAAACGCUCCAAGUUUGUAGUAUAGAACUAAAAGUGUCGAUUCUCACGAUUUCUUCCCGACAUAUACAAACUAGACAGUAAUCACAUAAAAUAAAGAAAUAUGUGUUAACAAGAACUUAUACCAUGUAUUUCAACAUAUAGAUUGUUGAUUAUUAUGGUAGAUUAUAUAAAAUAGGGGUUCCCGAAGCAAUACAUAAAAACAAGAGCAUUAAAAUUUCCUUUUCAGAUUUGGCUAUCUGGUAAAAGGAGUUGGAGUAACUGAGUUUCCAAAUUUGUGCCGUAGCUCUAUAGAAGGAAUAUAAAUACGUUGGAAAAAUUCUAUAAGGAAAGGUUUAAUACAAGUAGGGCUAAGAAAAACUCAAUGAGGCUUUGGUCGCAUGGUCACAAAACUUGAGACAAGAAACACGAAGACACCAAGGUAAUUAGUAUGAGAGUUUUCCAAAUUUGGUGUCUUGAUGUAGAAAAAUAAAUAUAUGAAAAACUUGUUUUUUCGCAAGGCAUGGAUAAAUAAGUGGGGGUGAGCAAUAAAUUUCAUCCUUGAUUUAGAAGGAAUAAAUAUAUCACUAAAUACGUUUUUUCACAAUGCCAAGUUAAUCAGGUGGGACCGAGAAACAAUUCUAGCGAGGCUAGGUUGUACUAGCCCAAAACUACAUACUACAGAGGAAAAAUGAAGAAAAUGAUGGUCUACCAAAUAUGGCGCAUGAGCCUUAAGGUGCACCUAGAGGGAAGUAGAAGAAAUAAAUAUAUAAUAGCAUAUGUUUUUCGCAAUGCAAGGUAAAGUGUAGAUGUGCUCUAACUAGGCUUAGAUUGCAGCGACACAUUAUGCAUCUACAAGGCUUGGUUGCACAUGGAAAAAGAUAGAGAGAGAAAUGUAGACGCAGGACCGAGAGAAAAACAUUCAAUGAGACGUGAUUGCACGGACAUAGAACUAGAUAUAAGACAAGAGUUAAAGAAAAAUAAAGGAACUAAAUUUUCUUCUGCACACUAAGCAUGAAUGGAGUUGUAGUAUCUGAGAUCAAAAUUUAAUUUAUUCCAAGAUGCAGAACAAAAACGUGAUACUCGUAAUGGUUACAUAGGAACAAAAGUAGAUAAGAAAAAUAGCAAAAAGAUAGUGGUCUACCAGAGAGGGCACAUGUGCCUCAAUUGGCCUAUAGCAUAGCGACUCAUUAUCCUUCCACCGCUGGUGGCGGGCGGUACUCGCUGCUCUGUGAAGCCAGCCUCACGCAAUGUCCGCCACUUUAGGUGUUGGGAUGCAAAGGCUUUCGCCAAGGCAUCCGAAACCCACUACACAACUUGGAAUGGGUGUUCCACAAUUUGUAGCACUAGACCCAGGCACAUGCACCACAAUUGACAUCCACACUACCUUAUUGCCUCCGCUCGGGUUACAAGCAAUCGCUACUUGCUCAGCGAGUGAGGGGGUUCAAGACUACCUAUUUGAGGUGGUGUUGUACUCUAUGAGCCGGCGGUGUGGUAUUUACCAACUACAAAUAGUGUCAUGCAUGUGACUUGCUAGUUGACAAUGUCUGUUGUCGAGCUAGAUGUGGGCUAUGGAUGAAGCACAUUAGGAUAUAGUAGGCCUAUUUUGUUUUUUGUUGUUUUUGGGCCACUAUGGACUUUAUGUUGAUGUUGUGAAAUUUUUUCUUGUGUUUCCUCUUCAUACGAUGUGGAAAGUGGGUGCCGUCAGAGAAGAAAGAAAGAGCGGCUAGCAUUGAUUUUACGUCAUACCAUUGAGAACACUAAUUAGAAGCAGAAGCAACAAUAUUUCAUACAUAUACAACACUUGUAAUCCAUAUAAACAACAUUCCUUUAAAAUAUAAUAUAAACCACAUGAUUUAUAUCCUGGGUCAGCUAUCUCCACAAAGGGCAAGAAAACGCUCCAAGUUUGUAGUAUAGAACUAAAAGUGUCGAUUCUCACGAUUUCUUCCCGACAUAUACAAACUAGACAGUAAUCACAUAAAAUAAAGAAAUAUGUGUUAACACGAACUUAUAACAUGUAUUUCAACAUAUAGAUUGUUGAUUAUUAUGGUAGAUUAUAUAAAAUAGGGGUUCCCGAAGAAAUACAUAAAAACAAGAGCAUUAAAAUUUCCUUUUCAGAUCUGGCUAUCUGGUAAAAGGAGUUGGAGUAACUGAGUUUCCAAAUUUGUGACGUAGCUCUAUAGAAGGAAUAUAAAUACGUUGGAAAAAUUCUACAAGGAAAGGUUUAAUACAAGUAGGGCUAAGAAAAACUCAAUGAGGCUUUGGUCGCAUGGUCACAAAACUUGAGACAAGAAACACGAAGACACCAAGGUAAUUAGUAUGAGAGUUUUCCAAAUUUGGUGUCUUGAUGUAGAAAAAAUAAAUAUAUGACAAACUUGUUUUUUCGCAAGGCAUGGAUAAAUAAGUGGGGGCGAGCAAUAAAUUUCAUCCUAGAUUUAGAAGGAAUAAAUAUAUCACUAAAUACGUUUUUUCAUAAUGCCAAGUUAAUCAGGUGGGAGCGAGAAACAAUUCUAGCGAGGUUAGGUUGUACUAGCCCAAAACUACAUACAACAGAGGAAAAAUGAAGAAAAUGAUGGUCUACCAAAUAUGGCGCAUGAGCCUUAAGGUGCACGUAGAGGGAAGUAUAAGAAAUAAAUAUAUAAUAGCAUAUGUUUUUCGCAAUGCAAGGUAAAGUGUAGAUGUGCUCUAACUGGGCUUAGAUUGCAGCGACACAUUAUGCAUCUACAAGGCUUGGUUGCACAUGGAAAAAGAUAGAGAGAGAAAUGUAGACACAGGACCGGGAGAAAAACAUUCAAUGAGACAUGAUUGCACGGACAUAGAACUAGAUAUAAGACAAGAGUUAAAGAAAAAUAAAGGAACUAAAUUUUCUUCUACACACUCAGCAUGAAUGGAGUUGUAGUAUCUGAGAUCAAAAUUUAAUUUAUUCCAAGAUGCAGAACAAAAACGUGAUACUCGUAAUGGUUACAUAGGAACAAAAGUAGAUAAGAAAAAUAGCAAAAAGAUAGUGGUCUACCAGAGAGGGCACAUGUGCCUCAAUUGGCCUAUAGCAUAGCGACUCAUUAUCCUUCCACCGCUGGUGGCGGGCGGUACUCGCUGCUCUGUGAAGCCAGCCUCACGCAAUGUCCGCCACUUUAGGUGUUGGGAUGCAAAGGCUUUCGCCAAGGCAUCCGAAACCCACUACACAACUUGGAAUGGGUGUUCCACAGUUUGUAGCACUAGACCAUGGCACAUGCACCACAAUUGACAUCCACACUACCUUAUUGCCCCCGCUCGGGUUACAAGCAAUCACUACUUGCUCAUCAAGUGAGGGGGUUCAAGACUACCUAUUUAAGGUGGUGUUGUACUCUAUGAGCCGACGGUGUGGUAUUUACCAACUACAAAUAGUGUCAUGCAUGUGACUUGCUAGUUGACAAUGUCUGUUGUCGAGCUAGAUGUGGGCUAUGGAUGAAGCACAUUAGGAUAUAGUAGGCCUAUUUUGUUUUUUGUUGUUUUUGGGCCACUAUGGACUUUAUGUUGACGUUGUGAAAUUUUUUCUUGUGUUUCCUCUUCCUACGAUGUGGAAAGUGGGUGCCGUCAGAGAAGAAAGAAAGAGUGGCUAGCAUUGAUUUUACGUCAUACCAUUGAGAACACUAAUCAGAAGCAGAAGCAACAAUAUUUCAUACAUAUACAACACUUGUAAUCCAUAUAAACAACUUUCCUUUAAAAUAUAAUAUAAACCACAUGAUUUAUAUCCUGGGUCGGCUAUCUCCACAAAGGGCAAGAAAACGCUCCAAGUUUGUAGUAUAGAACUAAAAGUGUCGAUUCUCACGAUUUCUUCCCGACAUAUACAAACUAGACAGUAAUCACAUAAAAUAAAGAAAUAUGUGUUAACACGAACAUAUAGCAUGUAUUUCAACAUAUAGAUUGUUGAUUAUUAUGGUAGAUUAUAUAAAAUAGGGGUUCCCGAAGAAAUACAUAAAAACAAGAGCAUUGAAAUUUCCUUUUCAGAUCUGGCUAUCUGGUAAAAGGAGUUGGAGUAACUGAGUUUCCAAAUUUGUGACGUAGCUCUAUAGAAGGAAUAUAAAUACGUUGGAAAAAUUCUACAAGGAAAGGUUUAAUACAAGUAGGGCUAAGAAAAACUCAAUGAGGCUUUGGUCGCAUGGUCACAAAACUUGAGACAAGAAACACGAAGACACCAAGGUAAUUAGUAUGAGAGUUUUCCAAAUUUGGUGUCUUGAUGUAGAAAAAAUAAAUAUAUGACAAACUUGUUUUUUCGCAAGGCAUGGAUAAAUAAGUGGGGGCGAGCAAUAAAUUUCAUCCUAGAUUUAGAAGGAAUAAAUAUAUCACUAAAUACGUUUUUUCAUAAUGCCAAGUUAAUCAGGUGGGAGCGAGAAACAAUUCUAGCGAGGCUAGGUUGUACUAGCCCAAAACUACAUACAACAGAGGAAAAAUGAAGAAAAUGAUGGUCUACCAAAUAUGGCGCAUGAGCCUUAAGGUGCACCUAGAGGGAAGUAGAAGAAAUAAAUAUAUAAUAGCAUAUGUUUUUCGCAAUGCAAGGUAAAGUGUAGAUGUGCUCUAACUGGGCUUAGAUUGCAGCGACACAUUAUGCAUCUACAAGGCUUGGUUGCACAUGGAAAAAGAUAGAGAGAGAAAUGUAGACACAGGACCGGGAGAAAAACAUUCAAUGAGACAUGAUUGCACGGACAUAGAACUAGAUAUAAGACAAGAGUUAAAGAAAAAUAAAGGAACUAAAUUUUCUUCUGCACACUCAGCAUGAAUGGAGUUGUAGUAUCUGAGAUCAAAAUUUAAUUUAUUCCAAGAUGCAGAACAAAAACGUGAUACUCGUAAUGGUUACAUAGGAACAAAAGUAGAUAAGAAAAAUAGCAAAAAGAUAGUGGUCUACCAGAGAGGGCACAUGUGCCUCAAUUGGCCUAUAGCAUAGCGACUCAUUAUCCUUCCACCGCUGGUGGCGGGCGGUACUCGCUGCUCUGUGAAGCCAGCCUCACGCAAUGUCCGCCACUUUAGGUGUUGGGAUGCAAAGGCUUUCGCCAAGGCAUCCGAAACCCACUACACAACUUGGAAUGGGUGGUCCAAAGUUUGUAGCACUAGACCCAGGCACAUGCACCACAAUUGACAUCCACACUACCUUAUUGCCCCCGCUCGGGUUACAAGCAAUCGCUACUUGCUCAGCGAGUGAGGGGGUUCAACACUACCUAUUUAAGGUGGUGUUGUACUCUAUAAGCCGGCGGUGUGGUAUUUACCAACUACAAAUAGUGUCAUGCAUGUGACUUGCUAGUUGACAAUGUCUGUUGUCGAGCUAGAUGUGGGCUAUGGAUGAAGCACAUUAUGAUAUAGUAGGCCUAUUUUGUUUUUUGUUGUUUUUGGGCCACUAUGGACUUUAUGUUGAUGUUGUGAAAUUUUUUCUUGUGUUUCCUCUUCCUACGAUGUGUAAAGUGGGUGUGUUAGAGAAGAAAGAAAGAGUGGCUAGCAUUGAUUUUACGUCAUACCAUUGAGAACACUAAUCAGAAGCAGAAGCAACAAUAUUUCAUACAUAUACAACACUUGUAAUCCAUAUAAACAACUUUCCUUUAAAAUAUAAUAUAAACCACAUGAUUUAUAUCCUGGGUCGGCUAUCUCCACAAAGGGCAAGAAAACGCUCCAAGUUUGUAGUAUAGAACUAAAAGUGUCGAUUCUCACGAUUUCUUCCCGACAUAUACAAACUAGACAGUAAUCACAUAAAAUAAAGAAAUAUGUGUUAACACGAACUUAUAGCAUGUAUUUCAACAUAUAGAUUGUUGAUUAUUAUGGUAGAUUAUAUAAAAUAGGGGUUCCCAAAGAAAUACAUAAAACAAGAGCAUUAAAAUUUCCUUUUCAGAUCUGGCUAUCUGGUAAAAGGAGUUGGAGUAACUGAGUUUCCAAAUUUGUGACGUAGCUCUAUAGAAGGAAUAUAAAUACGUUGGAAAAAUUCUACAAGGAAAGGUUUAAUACAAGUAGGGCUAAGAAAAACUCAAUGAGGCUUUGGUCGCAUGGUCACAAAACUUGAGACAAGAAACACGAAGACACAAAGGUAAUUAGUAUGAGAGUUUUCCAAAUUUGGUGUCUUGAUGUAGAAAAAAUAAAUAUAUGACAAACUUGUUUUUUCGCAAGGCAUGGAUAAAUAAGUGGGGGUGAGCAAUAAAUUUCAACCUAGAUUUAGAAGGAAUAAAUAUAUCACUAAAUACAUUUUUUACAAUGCCAAGUUAAUCAGGUAGGAGCGAGAAACAAUUCUAGCGAGGCUAGGUUGUACUAGCCCAAAACUACAUACAAAAGAGGAAAAAUGAAGAAAAUGAUGGUCUACCAAAUAUGGCACAUGAGCCUUAAGGUGCACCUAGAGGGAAGUAGAAGAAUAAAUAUAUAAUAGCAUAUGUUUUUCGCAAUGCAAGGUAAAGUGUAGAUGUGCUCUAACUGGGCUUAGAUUGCAGCGACACAUUAUGCAUCUACAAGGCUUGGUUGCACAUGGAAAAAGAUAGAGAGAGAAAUGUAGACGCAGGACCGGGAGAAAAACAUUCAAUGAGACGUGAUUGCACGGACAUAGAACUAGAUAUAAGACAAGAGUUAAAGAAAAAAGGAACUAAAUUUUCUUGUGCACACUAAGCAUGAAUGGAGUUGUAGUAUCUGAGAUCAAAAUUUAAUUUAUUCCAAGAUGCAGAACAAAAACGUGAUACUCGUAAUGGUUACAUAGGAACAAAAGUAGAUAAGAAAAAUAGCAAAAAGAUAUUGGUCUACCAGAGAGGGCACAUGUGCCUCAAUUGGCCUAUAGCAUAGUGGCUCAUUAUCCUUCAACCGCUGGUGGCGGGCGGUACUCGCUGCUCUGUGAAGCCAGCCUCACGCAAUGUCCGCCACUUUAGGUGUUGGGAUGCAAAGGCUUUCGCCAAGGCAUCCGAAACCCACUACACAACUUGGAAUGGGUGGUCCACAGUUUGUAGCACUAGACCCAGGCACAUGCACCACAAUUGACAUUCACACUACCUUAUUGCCCCCGCUCGGGUUACAAGCAAUCGCUACUUGCUCAGCGAGUGAGGGGGGUUCAAGACUACCUAUUUAAGGUGGUGUUGUACUGUAUGAGCCGGCGGUGUGGUAUUUACCAACUACAAAUAGUGUCAUGCAUGUGACUUGCUAGUUGACAAUGUCUGUUGUGGAGCUAGAUGUGGGCUAUGGAUGAAGCACAUUAGGAUAUAGUAGGCCUAUUUUGUUUUUUGUUAUUUUUGGGCCACUAUGGACUUUAUGUUGAUGUUGUGAAUUUUUUUCUUGUGUUUCCUCUUCCUACGAUGUGGAAAGUGGGUGCGUCAGAGAAGAAAGAAAGAGUGGCUAGCAUUGAUUUUACGUCAUACCAUUGAGAACACUAAUCAGAAGCAGAAGCAACAAUAUUUCAUACAUAUACAACACUUGUAAUCCAUAUAAACAACUUUCCUUUCAAAUAUAAUAUAAACCACAUGAUUUAUAUCCUGGGUCGGCUAUCUCCACAAAGGGCAAGAAAACGCUCCAAGUUUGUAGUAUAGAACUAAAAGUGUCGACUCUCACGAUUUCUUCCCGACAUAUGCAAACUAGACAGUAAUCACAUAAAAUAAAGAAAUAUGUGUUAACACAAACUUAUAACAUGUAUUUCAACAUAUAGAUUUUUGAUUAUUAUGGUAGAUUAUAUAAUAUAGGGGUUCCCGAAGAAAUACAUAAAAAACAAGAGCAUUAAAAUUUCCUUUUCAGAUCUGGCUAACUGGUAAAGGGAGUUGGAGUAUCUGUGUUUCCAAAUUUGGGACGUCGCUCUAUAGAAGGAAUAUAAAUACAUUGGAAAAAAAUUCUACAAGGAAAGGUUUAAUACAAGUAGGGCUAAGAAAAACUCAAUGAGGCUUUGGUCGCAUGGUCACAAAACUUGAGACAAGAAACACGAAGACACCAAGGUAAUUAGUAUGAGAGUUUUCCAAAUUUGGUGUCUUGAUGUAGAAAAAAUAAAUAUAUGACAAACUUGUUUUUUCGCAAGGCAUGGAUAAAUAAGUGGGGGUGAGCAAUAAAUUUCAUCCUAGAUUUAGAAGGAAUAAAUAUAUCACUAAAUACGUUUUUUCAUAAUGCCAAGUUAAUCAGGUGGGAGCGAGAAACAAUUCUAGCGAGGCUAGGUUGUACUAGCCCAAAACUACAUACAACAGAGGAAAAAUGAAGAAAAUGAUGGUCUACCAAAUAUGGCGCAUGAGCCUUAAGGUGCACCUAGAGGGAAGUAGAAGAAAUAAAUAUAUAAUAGCAUAUGUUUUUCUCAAUGCAAGGUAAAGUGUAGAUGUGCUCUAACUGGGCUUAGAUUGCAGCGACACAUUAUGCAUCUACAAGGCUUGGUUGCACAUGGAAAAAGAUAGAGAGAGAAAUGUAGACACAGGACGGGGAGAAAAACAUUCAAUGAGACAUGAUUGCACGGACAUAGAACUAGAUAUAAGACAAGAGUUAAAGAAAAAUAAAGGAACUAAAUUUUCUUCUGCACACUCAGCAUGAAUGGAGUUGUAGUAUCUGAGAUCAAAAUUUAAUUUAUUCCAAGAUGCAGAACAAAAACGUGAUACUCGUAAUGGUUACAUAGGAACAAAAGUAGAUAAGAAAAAUAGCAAAAAGAUAGUGGUCUACCAGAGAGGGCACAUGUGCCUCAAUUGGCCUAUAGCAUAGCGACUCAUUAUCCUUCCACCGCUGGUGGCGGGCGGUACUCGCUGCUCUGUGAAGCCAGCCUCACGCAAUGUCCGCCACUUUAGGUGUUGGGAUGCAAAGGCUUUCGCCAAGGCAUCCGAAACCCACUACACAACUUGGAAUGGGUGGUCCACAGUUUGUAGCACUAGACCCAGGCACAUGCACCACAAUUGACAUCCACACUACCUUAUUGCCCCCGCUCGGGUUACAAGCAAUCGCUACUUGCUCAGCGAGUGAGGGGGUUCAAGACUACCUAUUUAAGGUGGUGUUGUACUCUAUAAGCCGGCGGUGUGGUAUUUACCAACUACAAAUAGUGUCAUGCAUGUGACUUGCUAGUUGACAAUGUCUGUUGUCGAGCUAGAUGUGGGCUACGGAUGAAGCACAUUAUGAUAUAGUAGGCCUAUUUUGUUUUUUGUUGUUUUUGGGCCACUAUGGACUUUAUGUUGAUGUUGUGAAAUUUUUUCUUGUGUUUCCUCUUCCUACGAUGUGGAAAGUGGGUGUGUUAGAGAAGAAAGAAAGAGUGGCUAGCAUUGAUUUUACGUCAUACCAUUGAGAACACUAAUCAGAAGCAGAAGCAACAAUAUUUCAUACAUAUACAACACUUGUAAUCCAUAUAAACAACUUUCCUUUAAAAUAUAAUAUAAACCACAUGAUUUAUAUCCUGGGUCGGCUAUCUCCACAAAGGGCAAGAAAACGCUCCAAGUUUGUAGUAUAGAACUAAAAGUGUCGAUUCUCACGAUUUCUUCCCGACAUAUACAAACUAGACAGUAAUCACAUAAAAUAAAGAAAUAUGUGUUAACACAAACUUAUAGCAUGUAUUUCAACAUAUAGAUUGUUGAUUAUUAUGGUAGAUUAUAUAAAAUAGAGGUUCCCGAAGAAAUACAUAAAAACAAGAGCAUUAAAAUUUCCAUUUCAGAUCUGGCUAUCUGGUAAAAGGAGUUGGAGUAACUGAGUUUCCAAAUUUGUGACGUAGCUCUAUAGAAGGAAUAUAAAUACGUUGGAAAAAUUCUACAAGGAAAGGUUUAAUACAAGUAGGGCUAAGAAAAACUCAAUGAGGCUUUGGUCGCAUGGUCACAAAACUUGAGACAAGAAACACGAAGACACCAAGGUAAUUAGUAUGAGAGUUUUCCAAAUUUGGUGUCUUGAUGUAGAAAAAAUAAAUAUAUGACAAACUUGUUUUUUCGCAAGGCAUGGAUAAAUAAGUGGGGGCGAGCAAUAAAUUUCAUCCUAGAUUUAGAAGGAAUAAAUAUAUCACUAAAUACGUUUUUUCAUAAUGCCAAGUUCAUCAGGUGGGAGCGAGAAACAAUUCUAGCGAGGUUAGGUUGUACUAGCCCAAAACUACAUACAACAGAGGAAAAAUGAAGAAAAUGAUGGUCUACCAAAUAUGGCGCAUGGGCCUUAAGGUGCACCUAGAGGGAAGUAUAAGAAAUAAAUAUAUAAUAGCCUAUGUUUUUCGCAAUGCAAGGUAAAGUGUAGAUGUGCUCUAACUGGGCUUAGAUUGCAGCGACACAUUAUGCAUCUACAAGGCUUGGUUGCACAUGGAAAAAGAUAGAGAGAGAAAUGUAGACACAGGACGGGGAGAAAAACAUUCAAUGAGACAUGAUUGCACGGACAUAGAACUAGAUAUAAGACAAGAGUUAAAGAAAAAUAAAGGAACUAAAUUUUCUUCUGCACACUCAGCAUGAAUGGAGUUGUAGUAUCUGAGAUCAAAAUUUAAUUUAUUCCAAGAUGCAGAACAAAAACGUGAUACUCGUAAUGGUUACAUAGGAACAAAAGUAGAUAAGAAAAAUAGCAAAAAGAUAGUGGUCUACCAGAGAGGGCACAUGUGCCUCAAUUGGCCUAUAGCAUAGCGACUCAUUAUCCUUCCACCGCUGGUGGCAGGCGGUACUCGCUGCUCUGUGAAGCCAGCCUCACGCAAUGUCCGCCACUUUAGGUGUUGGGAUGCAAAGGCUUUCGCCAAGGCAUCCGAAACCCACUACGCAACUUGGAAUGGGUGGUCCACAGUUUGUAGCACUAGACCCAGGCACAUGCACCACAAUUGACAUCCACACUACCUUAUUGCCCCCGCUCGGGUUACAAGCAAUCGCUACUUGCUCAGCGAGUGAGGGGGUUCAAGACUACCUAUUUAAGGUGGUGUUGUACUCUAUAAGCCGGCGGUGUGGUAUUUACCAACUACAAAUAGUGUCAUGCAUGUGACUUGCUAGUUGACAAUGUCUGUUGUCGAGCUAGAUGUGGGCUAUGGAUGAAACACAUUACGAUAUAGUAGGCCUAUUUUGUUUUUUGUUGUUUUUGGGCCACUAUGGACUUUAUGUUGAUGUUGUGAAAUUUUUUCUUGUGUUUCCUCUUCCUAUGAUGUGGAAAGUGGGUGGGUUAGAGAAGAAAGAAAGAGUGGCUAGCAUUGAUUUUACGUCAUACAAUUGAGAACACUAAUCAGAAGCAGAAGCAACAAUAUUUCAUACAUAUACAACACUUGUAAUCCAUAUAAACAACUUUCCUUUAAAAUAUAAUAUAAACCACAUGAUUUAUAUCCUGGGUCGGCUAUCUCCACAAAGGGCAAGAAAACGCUCCAAGUUUGUAGUAUAGAACUAAAAGUGUCGAUUCUCACGAUUUCUUCCCGACAUAUACAAACUAGACAGUAAUCACAUAAAAUAAAGAAAUAUGUGUUAACACGAACUUAUAGCAUGUAUUUCAACAUAUAGAUUGCUGAUUAUUAUGGUUGAUUAUAUAAAAUAGGGGUUCCCGAAGAAAUACAUAAAAACAAGAGCAUUAAAAUUUCCUUUUCAGAUCUGGCUAUCUGGUAAAAGGAGUUGGAGUAACUGAGUUUCCAAAUUUGUGACGUAGCUCUAUAGAAGGAAUAUAAAUACGUUGGAAAAAUUCUACAAGGAAAGGUUUAAUACAAGUAGGGCUAAGAAAAACUCAAUGAGGCUUUGGUCGCAUGGUCACAAAACUUGAGACAAGAAACACGAAGACACCAAGGUAAUUAGUAUGAGAGUUUUCCAAAUUUGGUGUCUUGAUGUAGAAAAAAUAAAUAUAUGACAAACUUGUUUUUUCGCAAGGCAUGGAUAAAUAAGUGGGGGUGAGCAAUAAAUUUCAUCCUAGAUUUAGAAGGAAUAAAUAUAUCACUAAAUACGUUUUUUACAAUGCCAAGUUAAUUAGGUGGGAGCGAGAAACAAUUCUAGCGAGGCUAGGUUGUACUAGCCCAAAACUACAUACAACAGAGGAAGAAUGAAGAAAAUGAUGGUCUACCAAAUAUGGCACAUGAGCCUUAAGGUGCACCUAGAGGGAAGUAGAAGAAUAAAUAUAUAAUAGCAUAUGUUUUUCGCAAUGCAAGGUAAAGUGUAGAUGUGCUCUAACUGGGCUUAGAUUGCAGCGACACAUUAUGCAUCUACAAGGCUUCGUUGCACAUGGAAAAAGAUAGAGAGAGAAAUGUAGACGCAGGACCGGGAGAAAAACAUUCAAUGAGACGUGAUUGCACGGACAUAGAACUAAGUAUAAGACAAGAGUUAAAGAAAAAAGGAACUAAAUUUUCUUGUGCACACUAAGCAUGAAUGGAGUUGUAGUAUCUGAGAUCAAAAUUUAAUUUAUUCCAAGAUGCAGAACAAAAACGUGAUACUCGUAAUGGUUACAUAGGAACAAAAGUAGAUAAGAAAAAUAGCAAAAAGAUAUUGGUCUACCAGAGAGGGCACAUGUGCCUCAAUUGGCCUAUAGCAUAGUGGCUCAUUAUCCUUCCACCGCUGGUGGCGGGCGGUACUCGCUGCUCUGUGAAGCCAGCCUCACGCAAUGUCCGCCACUUUAGGUGUUGGGAUGCAAAGGCUUUCGCCAAGGCAUCCGAAACCCACUACACAACUUGGAAUGGGUGGUCCACAGUUUGUAGCAAUAGACCCAGGCACAUGCACCACAAUUGACAUUCACACUACCUUAUUGCCCCCGCUCGGGUUACAAGCAAUCGCUACUUGCUCAGCGAGUGAGGGGGUUCAAGACUACCUAUUUAAGGUGGUGUUGUACUGUAUGAGCCGGCGGUGUGGUAUUUACCAACUACAAAUAGUGUCAUGCAUGUGACUUGCUAGUUGACAAUGUCUAUUGUCGAGCUAGAUGUGGGCUAUAGAUGAAGCACAUUAGGAUAUAGUAGGCCUAUUUUGUUUUUUGUUGUUUUUGGGCCACUAUGGACUUUAUGUUGAUGUUGUGAAAUUUUUUCUUGUGUUUCCUCUUCCUACGAUGUGGAAAGUGGGUGCUUCAGAGAAGAAAGAAAGAGUGGCUAGCAUUGAUUUUACGUCAUACCAUUGAGAACACUAAUCAGAAGCAGAAGCAACAAUAUUUCAUACAUAUACAACACUUGUAAUCCAUAUAAACAACUUUCCUUUCAAAUAUAAUAUAAACCACAUGAUUUAUAUCCUGGGUCGGCUAUCUCCACAAAGGGCAAGAAAACGCUCCAAGUUUGUAGUAUAGCACUAAAAGUGUCGACUCUCACGAUUUCUUCCCGACAUAUGCAAACUAGACAGUAAUCACAUAAAAUAAAGAAAUAUGUGUUAACACAAACUUAUAGCAUGUAUUUCAACAUAUAGAUUUUUGAUUAUUAUGGUAGAUUAUAUAAUAUAGGGGUUCCCGAAAAAAUACAUAAAAAACAAGAGCAUUAAAAUUUCCUUUUCAGAUCUGGCUAACUGGUAAAGGGAGUUGGAGUAUCUGAGUUUCCAAAUUUGGGACGUCGCUCUAUAGAAGGAAUAUAAAUACAUUGGAAAAAAUUCUACAAGGAAAGGUUUAAUACAAGUAGCGCUAAGAAAAACUCAAUGAGGCUUUGGUCGCUUGGUCACAAAACUUGAGACAAGAAACACGAAGACACCAAGGUAAUUAGUAUGAGAGUUUUCCAAAUUUGGUGUCUUGAUGUAGAAAAAAUAAAUAUAUGACAAACUUGUUUUUUCGCAAGGCAUGGAUAAAUAAGUGGGGGUGAGCAAUAAAUUUCAUCCUAGAUUUAGAAGGAAUAAAUAUAUCACUAAAUACGUUUUUUCACAAUGCCAAGUUAAUCAGGUGGGAGCGAGAAACAAUUCUAGCGAGGCUAGGUUGUACUAGCCCAAAACUACAUACAACAGAGGAAAAAUAAAGAAAAUGAUGGUCUACCAAAUAGGGCGCAUGAGCCUUAAGGUGCACCUAGAGGGAAGUAGAAGAAAUAAAUAUAUAAUAGCAUAUGUUUUUCGCAAUGCAAGGUAAAGUGUAGAUGUGCUCUAACUGGGCUUAGAUUGCAGCGACACAUUAUGCAUCUACAAGGCUUGGUUGCACAUGGAAAAAGAUAGAGAGAGAAAUGUAGACGCAGGACCGGGAGAAAAACAUUCAAUGAGACGUGAUUGCACGGACAUAGAACUAGAUAUAAGACAAGAGUUAAAGAAAAAUAAAGGAACUAAAUUUUCUUCUGCACACUAAGCAUGAAUGGAGUUGUAGUAUCUGAGAUCAAAAUUUAAUUUAUUCCAAGAUGCAGAACAAAAACGUGAUACUCGUAAUGGUUACAUAGGAACAAAAGUAGAUAAGAAAAAUAGCAAAAAGAUAGUGGUCUACCAGAGAGGGCACAUGUGCCUCAAUUGGCCUAUAGCAUAGCGACUCAUUAUCCUUCCACCGCUGGUGGCGGGCGGUACUCGCUGCUCUGUGAAGCCAGCCUCACGCAAUGUCCGCCACUUUAGGUGUUGGGAUGCAAAGGCUUUCGCCAAGGCAUCCGAAACCCACUACACAACUUGGAAUGGGUGGUCCACAGUUUGUAGCACUAGACCCAGGCACAUGCACCACAAUUGACAUCCACACUACCUUAUUGCCCCCGCUCGGGUUACAAGCAAUCGCUACUUGCUCAGCGAGUGAGGGGGUUCAAGACUACCUAUUUAAGGUGGUGUUGUACUCUAUGAGCCGGCGGUGUGGUAUUUACCAACUACAAAUAGUGUCAUGCAUGUGACUUGCUAGUUGACAAUGUCUGUUGUCAAGCUAGGUGUGGGCUAUGGAUGAAGCACAUUAGGAUAUAGUAGGCCUAUUUUGUUUUUUGUUGUUUUUGGGCCACUAUGGACUGUAUGUUGAUGUUGUGAAAUUUUUUUCUUGUGUUUCCUCUUCCUACGAUGUGGAAAGUGGGUGCGUCAGAGAAGAAAGAAAGAGUGGCUAGCAUUGAUUUUACGUCAUACCAUUGAGAACACUAAUCAGAAGCAGAAGCAACAAUAUUUCAUACAUAUACAACACUUGUAAUCCAUAUAAACAACAUUCCUUUAAAAUAUAAUAUAAACCACAUGAUUUAUAUCCUGGGUCGGCUAUCUCCACAAAGGGCAAGAAAACGCUCCAAGUUUGUAGUAUAGCACUAAAAGUGUCGAUUCUCACGAUUUCUUCCCGACAUAUACAAACUAGACAGUAAUCACAUAAAAUAAAGAAAUAUGUGUUAACACGAACUUAUAACAUGUAUUUCAACAUAUAGAUUGUUGAUUAUUAUGGUAGAUUAUAUAAAAUAGGGGUUCCCGAAGAAAUACAUAAAAACAAGAGCAUUAAAAUUUCCUUUUCAGAUCUGGCUAUCUGGUAAAAGGAGUUGGAGUAACUGAGUUUCCAAAUUUGUGACGUAGCUCUAUAGAAGGAAUAUAAAUACGUUGGAAAAAUUCUAUAAGGAAAGGUUUAAUACAAGUAGGGCUAAGAAAAACUCAAUGAGGCUUUGGUCGCAUGGUCACAAAACUUGAGACAAGAAACACGAAGACACCAAGGUAAUUAGUAUGAGAGUUUUCCAAAUUUGGUGUCUUGAUGUAGAAAAAAUAAAUAUAUGACAAACUUGUUUUUUCGCAAGGCAUGGAUAAAUAAGUGGGGGUGAGCAAUAAAUUUCAUCCUAGAUUUAGAAGGAAUAAAUAUAUCACUAAAUAUGUUUUUUCACAAUGCCAAGUUAAUCAGGUGGGAGCGAGAAACAAUUCUAGCGAGGCUAGGUUGUACUAGCCCAAAACUACAUACAACAGAGGAAAAAUGAAGAAAAUGAUGGUCUACCAAAUAUGGCGCAUGAGCCUUAAGGUGCACCUAGAGGGAAGUAGAAGAAAUAAAUAUAUAAUAGCAUAUGUUUUUCGCAAUGCAAGGUAAAGUGUAGAUGUGCUCUAACUGGGCUUAGAUUGCAGCGACACAUUAUGCAUCUACAAGGCUUGGUUGCACAUGGAAAAAGAUAGAGAGAGAAAUGUAGACGCAGGACCGGGAGAAAAACAUUCAACGAGACGUGAUUGCACGGACAUAGAACUAGAUAUAAGACAAGAGUUAAAGAAAAAUAAAGGAACUAAAUUUUCUUCUGCACACUAAGCAUGAAUGGAGUUGUAGUAUCUGAGAUCAAAAUUUAAUUUAUUCCAAGAUGCAGAACAAAAACGUGAUACUCGUAAUGGUUACAUAGGAACAUAAGUAGAUAAGAAAAAUAGCAAAAAGAUAGUGGUCUACCAGAGAGGGCACAUGUGCCUCAAUUGGCCUAUAGCAUAGCGACUCAUUAUCCUUCCACCGCUGGUGGCGGGCGGUACUCGCUGCUCUGUGAAGCCAGCCUCACGCAAUGUCUGCCACUUUAGGUGUUGGGAUGCAAAGGCUUUCGCCAAGGCAUCCGAAACCCACUACACAACUUGGAAUGGGUGGUCCACAGUUGGUAGCACUAGACCCAGGCACAUGCACCACAAUUGACAUCCACACUACCUUAUUGCCCCCGCUCGGGUUACAAGCAAUCGCUACUUGCUCAGCGAGUGAGGGGGUUCAAGACUACCUAUUUAAGGUGGUGUUGUACUCUAUGAGCCGGUGGUGUGGUAUUUACCAACUACAAAUAGUGUCAUGCAUGUGACUUGCUAGUUGACAAUGUCUGUUGUCAAGCUAGGUGUGGGCUAUGGAUGAAGCACAUUAGGAUAUAGUAGGCCUAUUUUGUUUUUUGUUGUUUUUGGGCCACUAUGGACUUUAUGUUGAUGUUGUGAAUUUUUUUUCUUGUGUUUCCUCUUCCUACAAUGUGGAAAGUGGGUGCGUCAGAGAAGAAAGAAAGAGUGGCUAGCAUUGAUUUUACGUCAUACCAUUGAGAACACUAAUCAGAAGCAGAAGCAACAAUAUUUCAUACAUAUACAACACUUGUAAUCCAUAUAAACAACAUUCCUUUAAAAUAUAAUAUAAACCACAUGAUUUAUAUCCUGGGUCGGCUAUCUCCACAAAGGGCAAGAAAACGCUCCAAGUUUGUAGUAUAGCACUAAAAGUGUCGAUUCUCACGAUUUCUUCCCGACAUAUACAAACUAGACAGUAAUCACAUAAAAUAAAGAAAUAUGUGUUAACACGAACUUAUAGCAUGUAUUUCAACAUAUAGAUUGUUGAUUAUUAUGGUAGAUUAUAUAAAAUAGGGGUUCCCGAAGAAAUACAUAAAAACAAGAGCAUUAAAAUUUCCUUUUCAGAUCUGGCUAUCUGGUAAAAGGAGUUGGAGUAACUGAGUUUCCAAAUUUGUGACGUAGCUCUAUAGAAGGAAUAUAAAUACGUUGGAAAAAUUCUAUAAGGAAAGGUUUAAUACAAGUAGGGCUAAGAAAAACUCAAUGAGGCUUUGGUCGCAUGGUCACAAAACUUGAGACAAGAAACACGAAGACACCAAGGUAAUUAGUAUGAGAGUUUUCCAAAUUUGGUGUCUUGAUGUAGAAAAAAUAAAUAUAUGACAAACUUGUUUUUCGCAAGGCAUGGAUAAAUAAGUGGGGGUGAGCAAUAAAUUUCAUCCUAGAUUUAGAAGGAAUAAAUAUAUCACUUAAUAUGUUUUUUCACAAUGCCAAGUUAAUCAGGUGGGAGCGAGAAACAAUUCUAGCGAGGCUAGGUUGUACUAGCCCAAAACUACAUACAACAGAGGAAAAAUGAAGAAAAUGAUGGUCUACCAAAUAUGGUGCAUGAGCCUUAAGGUGCACCUAGAGGGAAGUAGAAGAAAUAAAUAUAUAAUAGCAUAUGUUUUUCGCAAUGCAAGGUAAAGUGUAGAUGUGCUCUAACUGGGCUUAGAUUGCAGCGACACAUUAUGCAUCUACAAGGCUUGGUUGCACAUGGAAAAAGAUAGAGAGAGAAAUGUAGACGCAAGACCGGGAGAAAAACAUUCAAUGAGACGUGAUUGCACGGACAUAGAACUAGAUAAAAGACAAGAGUUAAAGAAAAAUAAAGGAACUAAAUUUUCUUCUGCACACUAAGCAUGAAUGGAGUUGUAGUAUCUGAGAUCAAAAUUUAAUUUAUUCCAAGAUGCAGAACAAAAACGUGAUACUCGUAAUGGUUACAUAGGAACAUAAGUAGAUAAGAAAAAUAGCAAAAAGAUAGUGGUCUACCAGAGAGGGCACAUGUGCCUCAAUUGGCCUAUAGCAUAGCGACUCAUUAUCCUUCCACCGCUGGUGGCGGGCGGUACUCGCUGCUCUGUGAAGCCAGCCUCACGCAAUGUCCGCCACUUUAGGUGUUGGGAUGCAAAGGCUUUUGCCAAGGCAUCCGAAACCCACUACACAACUUGGAAUGGGUGGUCCACAGUUUGUAGCACUAGACCCAGGCACAUGCACCACAAUUGACAUCCACACUACCUUAUUGCCCCCGCUCGGGUUACAAGCAAUCGCUACUUGCUCAACGAGUGAGGGGGUUCAAGACUACCUAUUUAAGGUGGUGUUGUACUCUAUGAGCCGGCGGUGUGGUAUUUACCAACUACAAAUAGUGUCAUGCAUGUGACUUGCUAGUUGACAAUGUCUGUUGUCAAGCUAGGUGUGGGCUAUGGAUGAAGCACAUUAGGAUAUAGUAGGCCUAUUUUGUUUUUUGUUGUUUUUGGGCCACUAUGGACUUUAUGUUGAUGUUGUGAAUUUUUUUUCUUGUGUUUCCUCUUCCUACGAUGUGGAAAGUGGGUGCGUCAGAGAAGAAAGAAAGAGUGGCUAGCAUUGAUUUUACGUCAUACCAUUGAGAACACUAAUCAGAAGCAGAAGCAACAAUAUUUCAUACAUAUACAACACUUGUAAUCCAUAUAAACAACAUUCCUUUAAAAUAUAAUAUAAACCACAUGAUUUAUAUCCUGGGUCAGCUAUCUCCACAAAGGGCAAGAAAACGCUCCAAGUUUGUAGUAUAGCACUAAAAGUGUCGAUUCUCACGAUUUCUUCCCGACAUAUACAAACUAGACAGUAAUCACAUAAAAUAAAGAAAUAUGUGUUAACACGAACUUAUAGCAUGUAUUUCAACAUAUAGAUUGUUGAUUAUUAUGGUAGAUUAUAUAAAAUAGGGGUUCCCGAAGAAAUACAUAAAAACAAGAGCAUUAAAAUUUCCUUUUCAGAUCUGGCUAACUGGUAAAGGGAGUUGGAGUAUCUGAGUUUCCAAAUUUGGGACGUCGCUCUAUAGAAGGAAUAUAAAUACAUUGGAAAAAAUUCUACAAGGAAAGGUUUAAUACAAGUAGCGCUAAGAAAAACUCAAUGAGGCUUUGGUCGCUUGGUCACAAAACUUGAGACAAGAAACACGAAGACACCAAGGUAAUUAGUAUGAGAGUUUUCCAAAUUUGGUGUCUUGAUGUAGAAAAAAUAAAUAUAUGACAAACUUGUUUUUUCGUAAGGCAUGGAUAAAUAAGUGGGGGUGAGCAAUAAAUUUCAUCCUAGAUUUAGAAGGAAUAAAUAUAUCACUAAAUAGGUUUUUUCACAAUGCCAAGUUAAUCAGGUGGGAGCGAGAAACAAUUCUAGCGAGGCUAGGUUGUACUAGCCCAAAACUACAUACAACAGAGGAAAAAUGAAGAAAAUGAUGGUCUACCAAAUAUGGCGCAUGAGCCUUAAGGUGCACCUAGAGGGAAGUAGAAGAAAUAAAUAUAUAAUGGCAUAUGUUUAUCGCAAUGCAAGGUAAAGUGUAGAUGUGCUCUAACUGGGCUUAGAUUGCAGCGACACAUUAUGCAUCUACAAGGCUUGGUUGCACAUGGAAAAAGAUAGAGAGAGAAAUGUAGAUGCAGGACCGGGUGAAAAACAUUCAAUGAGACGUGAUUGCACGGACAUAGAACUAGAUAUAAGACAAGAGUUAAAGAAAAAUAAAGGAACUAAAUUUUCUUCUGCACACUAAGCAUGAAUGGAGUUGUAGUAUCUGAGAUCAAAAUUUAAUUUAUUCCAAGAUGCAGAACAAAAAUGUGAUACUCGUAAUGGUUACAUAGGAGCAAAAGUAGAUAAGAAAAAUAGCAAAAAGAUAGUGGUCUACCAGAGAGGGCACAUGUGCCUCAAUUGUCUUAUAGCAUAGCGACUCAUUAUCCUUCCACCGCUGGUGGCGGGCGGUACUCGCUGCUCUGUGAAGCCAGCCUCACGCAAUGUCCGCCACUUUAGGUGUUGGGAUGCAAAGACUUUCGCCAAGGCAUCCGAAACCCACUACACAACUUGGAAUGGGUGGUCCACUGUUUGUAGCACUAGACCCAGGCACAUGCACCACAAUUGACAUCCACACUACCUUAUUGCCCCGCUCGGGUUACAAGCAAUCGCUACUUGCUCAGCGAGUGAGGGGGUUCAAGACUACCUAUUUAAGGUGGUGUUGUACUCUAUGAGCCGGCGGUGUGGUAUUUACCAACUACAAAUAGUGUCAUGCAUGUGACUUGCUAGUUGACAAUGUCUGUUGUCAAGCUAGGUGUGGGCUAUGGAUGAAGCACAUUAGGAUAUAGUAGGCCUAUUUUGUUUUUUGUUGUUUUUGGGCCACUAUGGACUUUAUGUUGAUGUUGUGAAAUUUUUUUCUUGUGUUUCCUCUUCCUACGAUGUGGAAAGUGGGUGCGUCAGAGAAGAAAGAAAGAGUGGCUAGCAUUGAUUUUACGUCAUACCAUUGAGAACACUAAUCAGAAGCAGAAGCAACAAUAUUUCAUACAUAUACAACACUUGUAAUCCAUAUAAACAACAUUCCUUUAAAAUAUAAUAUAAACCACAUGAUUUAUAUCCUGGGUCGGCUAUCUCCACAAAGGGCAAGAAAACGCUCCAAGUUUGUAGUAUAGCACUAAAAGUGUCGAUUCUCACGAUUUCUUCCCGACAUAUACAAACUAGACAGUAAUCACAUAAAAUAAAGAAAUAUGUGUUAACACGAACUUAUAGCAUGUAUUUCAACAUAUAGAUUUUUGAUUAUUAUGGUAGAUUAUAUAAAAUAGGGGUUCCCGAAGAAAUACAUAAAAACAAGAGCAUUAAAAUUUCCUUUUCAGAUCUGGCUAUCUGGUAAAAGGAGUUGGAGUAACUGAGUUUCCAAAUUUGUGACGUAGCUCUAUAGAAGGAAUAUAAAUACGUUGGAAAAAUUCUAUAAGGAAAGGUUUAAUACAAGUAGGGCUAAGAAAAACUCAAUGAGGCUUUGGUCGCAUGGUCACAAAACUUGAGACAAGAAACACGAAGACACCAAGGUAAUUAGUAUGAGAGUUUUCCAAAUUUGGUGUCUUGAUGUAGAAAAAAUAAAUAUAUGACAAAUUUGUUUUUUCGCAAGGCAUGGAUAAAUAAGUGGGGGUGAGCAAUAAAUUUCAUCCUAGAUUUAGAAGGAAUAAAUAUAUCACUAAAUACAUUUUUUCACAAUGCCAAAUUAAUCAGGUGGGAGCGAGAAACAAUUGUAGCGAGGCUAGGUUGUACUAGCCCAAAACUACAUACAACAGAGGAAAAAUGAAGAAAAUGAUGGUCUACCAAAUAUGGCGCAUGAGCCUUAAGGUGCACCUAGAGGGAAGUAGAAGAAAUAAAUAUAUAAUAGCAUAUGUUUUUCGCAAUGCAUGGUAAAGUGUAGAUGUGCUCUAACUGGGCUUAGAUUGCAGCGACACAUUAUGCAUCUACAAGGCUUGGUUGCACAUGGAAAAAGAUACAAAAAGAAAUGUAGACGCAGGACCGGGAGAAAAACAUUCAAUGAGACGUGAUUGCACGGACAUAGAACUAGAUAUAAGACAAGAGUUAAAGAAAAAUAAAGGAACUAAAUUUUCUUCUGCACACUAAGCAUGAAUGGAGUUGUAGUAUCUGAGAUCAAAAUUUAAUUUAUUCCAAGAUGCAGAACAAAAAUUUGAUACUCGUAAUGGUUACAUAGGAGCAAAAGUAGAUAAGAAAAAUAGCAAAAAGAUAGUGGUCUACCAGAGAGGGCACAUGUGCCUCAAUUGGCCUAUAGCAUAGCGACUCAUUAUCCUUCCACCGCUGGUGGCGGGCGGUACUCGCUGCUCUGUGAAGCCAGCCUCACACAAUGUCCGCCACUUUAGGUGUUGGGAUGCAAAGGCUUUCGCCAAGGCAUCCGAAACCCACUACACAACUUGGAAUGGGUGGUCCACUGUUUGUAGCACUAGACCCAGGCACAUGCACCACAAUUGACAUCCACACUACCUUAUUGCCCCGCUCGGGUUACAAGCAAUCGCUACUUGCUCAGCGAGUGAGGGGGUUCAAGACUACCUAUUUAAGGUGGUGUUGUACUCUAUGAGCCGGCGGUGUGGUAUUUACCAACUACAAAUAGUGUCAUGCAUGUGACUUGCUAGUUGACAAUGUCUGUUGUCAAGCUAGGUGUGGGCUAUGGAUGAAGCACAUUAGGAUAUAGUAGGCCUAUUUUGUUUUUUGUUGUUUUUGGGCCACUAUGGACUUUAUGUUGAUGUUGUGAAAUUUUUUUCUUGUGUUUCCUCUUCCUACGAUGUGGAAAGUGGGUGCGUCAGAGAAGAAAGAAAGAGUGGCUAGCAUUGAUUUUACGUCAUACCAUUGAGAACACUAAUCAGAAGCAGAAGCAACAAUAUUUCAUACAUAUACAACACUUGUAAUCCAUAUAAACAACAUUCCUUUAAAAUAUAAUAUAAACCACAUGAUUUAUAUCCUGGGUCGGCUAUCUCCACAAAGGGCAAGAAAACGCUCCAAGUUUGUAGUAUAGCACUAAAAGUGUCGAUUCUCACGAUUUCUUCCCGACAUAUACAAACUAGACAGUAAUCACAUAAAAUAAAGAAAUAUGUGUUAACACAAACUUAUAGCAUGUAUUUCAACAUAUAGAUUGUUGAUUAUUAUGGUAGAUUAUAUAAAAUAGGGGUUCCCGAAGAAAUACAUAAAAACAAGAGCAUUAAAAUUUCCUUUUCAGAUCUGGCUAUCUGGUAAAAGGAGUUGGAGUAACUGAGUUUCCAAAUUUGUGACGUAGCUCUAUAGAAGGAAUAUAAAUACGUUGGAAAAAUUCUAUAAGGAAAGGUUUAAUACAAGUAGGGCUAAGAAAAACUCAAUGAGGCUUUGGUCGCAUGGUCACAAAACUUGAGACAAGAAACACGAAGACACCAAGGUAAUUAGUAUGAGAGUUUUCCAAAUUUGGUGUCUUGAUGUAGAAAAAAUAAAUAUAUGACAAAUUUGUUUUUUCGCAAGGCAUGGAUAAAUAGGUGGGGGUGAGCAAUAAAUUUCAUCCUAGAUUUAGAAGGAAUAAAUAUAUCACUAAAUAUGUUUUUUCACAAUGCCAAGUUAAUCAGGUGGGAGCGAGAAACAAUUCUAGCGAGGCUAGGUUGUACUAGCCCAAAACUACAUACAACAGAGGAAAAAUGAAGAAAAUGAUGGUCUACCAAAUAUGGCGCAUGAGCCUUAAGGUGCACCUAGAGGGAAGUAGAAGAAAUAAAUAUAUAAUAGCAUAUAUUUUUCGCAAUGCAUGGUAAAGUGUAGAUGUGCUCUAACUGGGCUUAGAUUGCAGCGACACAUUAUGCAUCUACAAGGCUUGGUUGCACAUGGAAAAAGAUACAGAAAGAAAUGUAGACGCAGGACCGGGAGAAAAACAUUCAAUGAGACGUGAUUGCACAGACAUAGAACUAGAUAUAAGACAAGAGUUAAAGAAAAAUAAAGGAACUAAAUUUUCUUCUGCACACUAAGCAUGAAUGGAGUUGUAGUAUCUGAGAUCAAAAUUUAAUUUAUUCCAAGAUGCAGAACAAAAAUGUGAUACUCGUAAUGGUUACAUAGGAACAAAAGUAGUUAAGAAAAAUAGCAAAAAGAUAGUGGUCUACCAGAGAGGGCACAUGUGCCUCAAUUGGCCUAUAGCAUAGCGACUCAUUAUCCUUCCACCGCUGGUGGCGGGCGGUACUCGCUGCUCUGUGAAGCCAGCCUCACGCAAUGUCCGCCACUUUAGGUGUUGGGAUGCAAAGGCUUUCGCCAAGGCAUCCGAAACCCACUACACAACUUGGAAUGGGUGGUCCACAGUUUGUAGCACUAGACCCAGGCACAUGCACCACAAUUGACAUCCACACUACCUUAUUGCCCCCGCUCGGGUUACAAGCAAUCGCUACUUGCUCAGCGAGUGAGGGGGGGUCAAGACUACCUAUUUAAGGUGGUGUUGUACUCUAUGAGCAGGCGGUCUGGUAUUUACCAACUACAAAUAGUGUCAUGCAUGUGACUUGCUAGUUGACAAUGUCUGUUGUCGAGUUAGAUGUGGGCUAUGGAUGAAGCACAUUAGGAUAUAGUAGGCCUAUUUUGUUUUUUGUUGUUUUUGGGCCACUAUGGACUUUCUGUUGAUGUUGUGAAAUUUUUUCUUGUGUUUCCUCUUCCUACGAUGUGGAAAGUGGGUGCGUCAGAGAAGAAAGAAAGAGUGGCUAGCAUUGAUUUUACGUCAUACCAUUGAGAACACUAAUUAGAAGCAGAAGCAACAAUAUUUCAUACAUAUACAACACUUGUAAUCCAUAUAAACAACUUUCCUUUAAAAUAUAAUAUAAACCACAUGAUUUAUAUCCUGGGUCGGCUAUCUCUACAAAGGGCGAGAAAACGCUCCAAGUUUGUAGUAUAGAACUAAAAGUGUCGAUUCUCAUGAUUUUUCCGACAUAUACAAACUAGACAGUAAUCACAUAAAAUAAAGAAAUAUGUGUUAACACGAACUUAUAGCAUGUAUUUCAACAUACAUAUUGUUGAUUAUUAUGGUAGAUUAUAUAAAAUAGGGGUUCCCGAAGAAAUACAUAAAAACAAGAGCAUUAAAAUUUCCUUUUUAGAUCUGGCUAUCUGGUAAAAGGAGUUGGAGUAACUGAGUUUCCAAAUUUGUGACGUAGCUCUAUAGAAGGAAUAUAAAUACGUUGCAAAAAUUCUACAAGGAAAGGUUAAUACAAGUAGGGCUAAGAAAAACUCAAUUAGGCUUUGGUCGCAUGGUCACAAAACUUGAGACAAGAAACACGAAGACACCAAGGUAAUUAGUAUGAGAGUUUUCGAAAUUUGGUGUCUUGAUGUAGAAAAAAUAAAUAUAUGACAAACUUGUUUUUUCUCAAGGCAUGGAUUGAGAGCACCUAGAGGGGGGGGUGAAUAGGUGAUCCUGUGAAACUUGAAAACUUAAGCCACAAAACUUGGUUAAUCGUUAGCACAAUAAUUGCCAAGUGGCUAAAUAGGAAUCCUCAACAAAAUACAAUAACCAACAAAGAUCAAUCACAGAGAUGACACGGUGGUUAUCCCAUGGUUCGGCCAAGACCAACGCUUGCCUACUCCAUGUUGUGGCGUCCCAACGGACGAGGGUUGCAAUCAACCCCUCUCAAGCGGUCCAAAGACCCACUUGAAUACCACGGUGUUUUGCUUUGCUUAUCUUUAUCCCACUUGCGAGGAAUCUCCACAAAUUGGAGUCUCUCGCCCUUACACUUAAAGUUCACAAAGAAGCACGGAGUAAGGGAGGGAAGCAACACACACAAAUCCACAGCAAAAUGCGCACACACACGGCCAAGAAUCGAGCUCAAAAGACUAUCUCAAAGUUCUCACUAGAACGGAGCUCGAAUCACUGAGAAUGACAAACGAAUGCGCAAAGACUGAGUGUGGAUGAUCAAGAAUGCUCUAAGGUUGCUUGGUUUUUCUCCUCCAUGCGCCUAGGGGUCCCUUUUAUAGCCCCAAGGCGGCUAGGAGCCGUUGAGAACAAAUCUGGAAGGCCAUCCUUGCCUUCUGUCGUCGGGCGCACCGGACAGUCCGGUGCACACCGGACACUGUCCGGUGCCCGAUUUCCUUCCUUAAAUGGCGAAGCCGACCGUUGCAGAUGUGGGAGCCGUUGGCGCACCGGACAUGUCCGGUGCACACCGGACAGUCCGGUGCCCCCUUCCGACCGUUGGCUCGGCCACGUGUCGCGCGCGGAUUCCGUGGCCGACCGUUGGCCCGGCCGACCGUUGGCUCACCGGACAGUCCGGUGCACACCGGACAGUCCGGUGAAUUUUAGGCGUACGUCGCCGGUGAAUUCCCGAGAGCGGCCAGUUCGCUCGAGCCAGCCUGGCGCACCGGACACAGUCCGGUGCACCACCGGACAGUCCGGUGCCCCAGACCGAAACAGCCUCUUGGCUGUACACAGCCAACUCUUCUCUUUCCUUCUUCUUUUUGUUUCUGAUACUUAGACAAGUAUAUUAGUACACAAAACCAAUGUACUAAGACUUAGAAACAUACCUUUGCUCUUGAUUUGCACUUUGUCCAUUCAUGGGCAUAGAUUUACAUUUAAUUACUUGUGUUGGCACUCAAUCACCAAAAUACUUAGAAAUGGCCCAAGGGCACAUUUCCCUUUCAAUCUCCCCCUUUUUGGUGAUUUAUGCCAACACAACAUAAAGCAACUAGAACAAGUGCAAUAUUACUUCAAAUAAAAACUCAAAUUCAUUUUGAUUCAAUUUGGCAUAUAUGGAUCAUCCUUUGCCACCACUUGGUUUGUUUUUGCAAAUCAAACUCAAAAUCCUAUCUCUAAGUCAAAUCCACUUGUAGAGACAUAAAGAGAGGUUUUCCAUAGAAGAUUGAUUCAAGAUUCCAAAAACUCCCCCUUUUUCCCAUAAUCAACACUUCACCCCACAAGAGGCCAACUUUUGAUAAAAGAGACAAUGCAAGAGUAUUGACAAACCAAAAGCUCUAUCCUACUGUUUUCAAAGUUUCUCAAGUGGUAGCUGAUCCAUUUAUUGCUUUGGCCUUUAUUUUCUCCCCCUUUGGCGUCAAGCACCAAAACGGGAUCAAUCUUGGCCCUUUAACCCCAUUGCCUCACCAAAAUCUUCAAUUAAGAGCAAAUAGGCAAUAAGAGUUAAAAGAUGAACUUGGAAAAGUUACUCUUUUCAUCGGAGUGCAGUGGAAGUCUUGCAUGGUCCAAGUCCACCUUUUCCCUUUUAAUUCUCCUUCGAGACUAAAACAAGCAAACUCAAGCAUAUGGUUAGUCUCAAAGGGUCAAGUUGUAACACAUCUCCCCCUAAAACUGUGCAUCACUUUGCAACGGACUUGUGAGGUCCAGGGAGUGUUUGUACAACUUGAGCACCAUACUAAACAACAAAAUGCAAAAAGGAUCAUGAUCAAAAGCAUAAAUACAUGUAUGCUACAAUUCAAUCCAAGUUCCGCGAAUCUACGACAUUUAGCUCACUACGCAGCCUGCAAAAGGUCUUCUCAUCUAGAGGCUUGGUAAAGAUAUCGGCUAGCUGGUUCUCGGUGCUAACAUGAAACACUUCGAUAUCUCCCUUUUGCUGGUGAUCUCUCAAAAAGUGAUGCCGGAUGUCAAUGUGCUUUGUGCGGCUGUGUUCAACAGGAUUUUCCGCCAUGCGGAUAGCACUCUCAUUGUCACAUAGGAGUGGGACUUUGCUCAGAUUGUAGCCAAAGUCCCUGAGGGUUUGCCUCAUCCAAAGUAGUUGCGCGCAACACUGUCCUGCGGCAACAUACUCGGCCUCAGCGGUGGAUAGGGCAACGGAGGUUUGUUUCUUAGAGUUCCACGACACCAGGGACCUUCCUAAGAAUUGGCACGUCCCUGAUGUACUCUUCCUAUCGACCUUACAUCCAGCAUAGUCGGAAUCUGAGUUUCCAACCAAGUCAAAGGUAGACCCCUUUGGAUACCAGAGCCCGAAGCAAGGCGUAGCAACCAAAUAUCUAAGAAUUCGCUUCACCGCCACUAAGUGACACUCCUUAGGAUUGGAUUGAAAUCUAGCACACAUGCAUACGCUAAGCAUAAUAUCCGGUCUACUAGCACAUAAAUAAAGUAAAGACCCUAUCAUUGACCGGUAUGCUUUUUGAUCAACGGACUUACCUCCUUUGUUGAGGUCGGUGUGUCCGUCGGUCCCCAUCGGAGUCUUUGCGGGCUUGGCGUCCUUCAUCCCAAACCGCUUCAGCAGGUCUUGCGUGUACUUUGUUUGGGAGAUGAAGGUGCCGUCCUUGAGUUGCUUCACUUGAAACCCAAGGAAGUAGUUCAACUCGCCCAUCAUCGACAUCUCGAAUUUCUGCAUCAUAACCCUGCUAAACUCUUCACAAGACUUUUGGUUAGUAGAACCAAAUAUUAUGUCAUCGACAUAAAUUUGGCACACAAACAAAUCACCAUCACAUGUCUUAGUAAAAAGAGUUGGAUCGGCUUUCCCAACCUUGAAGGCAUUUGCAAUUAAAAAGUCUUUAAGGCAUUCAUACCAUGCUCUUGGGGCUUGCUUAAGUCCAUAGAGCGCCUUAGAGAGCUUACACACGUGGUCGGGGUACCGUUCAUCCUCGAAGCCAGGGGGUUGCUCUACGUACACCUCCUCCUUGAUUGGCCCGUUGAGGAAAGCGCUCUUCACAUCCAUUUGGAACAACCUGAAAGAAUGGUGAGCGACAUAUGCUAGCAAGAUACGAAUUGAUUCUAGCCUAGCCACAGGAGCAAACGUCUCCUCAAAGUCCAAACCUGCGACUUGGGCAUAACCUUUUGCCACAAGUCGAGCCUUGUUCCUCGUCACCACCCCGUGCUCGUCCUGUUUGUUGCGGAAUACCCACUUGGUUCCCACAACGUUUUGCUUGGGACGAGGCACCAGUGUCCAAACUUCAUUUCGCUUGAAGUUGUUGAGUUCCUCCUGCAUGGCUAACACCCAGUCCGGAUCUAGCAAGGCCUCUUCUACCCUGAAAGGCUCAAUAGAAGAGACAAAGGAGUAAUGCUCACAAAAAUUAACUAAUCGAGAUCGAGUAGUUACUCCCUUGCUAAUAUCACCCAGAAUUUGGUCGACGGGAUGAUCCCUUUGAAUCAUCGCUCGAACUUGGGUUGGAGGUGCCGGUUGUGCUUCUUCCUCCAUCACAUGAUCAUCUUGUGCUCCCCAUUGAUCACACUCCUCUUGAUGAACCUGUUCAUCGUUUUGAGUUGGGGGAUGCAUCAUUGUUGAGGAAGAAGGUUGAUCUUGCUCCAAUUGUUCCUGUGGUCGCACAUCACCAAUCGCCAUGGUGCGCAUAGCGGCCGUUGGAACGUCUUCUUCAUCUAAAUCAUCAAGAUCAACAACUUGCUCUCUUGGAGAGCCAUUAGUCUCAUCAAAUACAACGUCGCUAGAGACUUCAACCAAACCCGAUGAUUUGUUGAAGACUCUAUACGCCUUUGUAUUUGACUCAUAACCUAACAAAAACCCUUCUACAGCUUUGGGAGCAAACUUAGAAUUUCUACCCUUCUUUACUAGAAUGUAGCACUUGCUCCCAAAUACACGAAAGUAAGAUACAUUGGGUUUGUUACCGGUUAGUAGCUCAUACGAAGUCUUCUUGAGGAGGCGAUGAAGGUAGACCCUGUUGAUGGCGUGGCAAGCCAUGUUCACGGCUUCCGACUAGAAACACUCGGGGGUCUUGAAUUCUCCAAGCAUCGUCCUCGCCAUAUCGAUUAGUGUCCUGUUCUUCCUCUCUACCACACCAUUUUGCUGUGGUGUGUAGGGAGCGGAGAACUCGUGCUUGAUCCCUUCCUCCUCAAGGAACUCCUCCACUUGAAGAUUCUUGAAAUCGGACCCGUUGUCGCUCCUUAUCUUCUUCACCUUGAGCUCAAACUCAUUUUGAGCUCUCCUAAGGAAGCGCUUGAGGGUCCCUUGGGUUUCAGACUUAUCCUGCAAAAAGAACACCCAAGUGAAGCGGGAAAAGUCAUCGACAAUAACUAGACCAUACUUACUUCCCCCUAUGCUCAGAUAGGCGACGGGUCCGAAGAGGUCCAUAUGCAGCAGCUCCAGGGGUCUUGAAGUGGUCAUCACAUUCUUGCUGUGAUGCGCUCCUCCCACUUGUUUACCUGCUUGACAAGCUGCACAAGGUCUAUCUUUUUCGAAUUGUACGUUAGUCAAACCUAUCACGUGUUCUCCCUUUAGAAGCUUGUGAAGGUUCUUCAUCCCCACAUGUGCUAAGCGGCGAUGCCACAGCCAGCCCAUGCUAGUCUUAGCAAUUAAGCAUGCAUCUAGACCGGCCUCUUCUUUUGCAAAAUCAACUAAGUAAAGCUUGCCGUCUAAUACACCCUUAAAAGCUAGUGAACCAUCACUUCUUCUAAAGACAGACACAUCUACAUUUGUAAAUAGACAGUUAUAUCCCAUAUUGCAUAAUUGACUAACAGAUAACAAAUUAUAUCCAAGAGACUCUACUAAAAACACAUUAGAGAUAGAGUGCUCAUUAGAAAUUGCAAUUUUACCUAACCCUUUUACCUUGCCUUGAUUCCCAUCACCGAAUAUAAUUGAAUCUUGGGAAUCCUUAUUCUUGACGUAGGAGGUGAACAUCUUCUUCUCCCCCGUCAUAUGGUUUGUGCAUCCGCUGUCGAUAAUCCAGCUUGAACCCCCGGAUGCAUAAACCUGCAAGGCAAAUUUAGGCUUGGGACUUAGGUACCCAACUCUUGUUGGGUCCUACAAGGUUAGUCACAAUUUCCUUAGGGAUCCAAAUGCAAGUUUUAUCACCCUUGCAUUUUGCCCCUAACUUCCUAGCAAUCACCUUUCUAUCCUUUCUACAAAUUGCAAAGGAAGCAUUCAAAGCAUGAUAUAUUGUAGAAGGCUCAUUAACUUUCCUAGGCACAUUAACAACAUUUCUCCUAGGCAUAUUAUGAACAACAUUUCUCCUACCAACGUUCCUAUCAUGCUCAUAGAAAGAACUAGAAGCAACCAUGUCAUGAUAAACAUAUGAAUCAAAAACAUUAUAACUUCUAUUUGCAUUUCUAGUAUGUCUCCUAUCAUGAUACAUAAAAGCAUGGUUCUUUUUAGCACUACCAGCCAUAGGGGCCUUCCCUUUCUCCUUGGCGGAAAUGGGAGCCUUAUGGCUUGUUAAGUUCUUGGCUUCCCUCUUGAAGCCAAGUCCAUCCUUAAUUGAGGGAUGUCUACCAAUCGUAUAGGCAUCCCUUGCAAAUUUUAAUUUAUCAAAUUCGCUUUUGCUAGUCUUAAGUUGGGCAUUAAGACUAGCCACUUCAUCAUUCAAUUUAGAAAUUGAAACUAGGUGUUCACUACAAGCAUCAACAUUAAAAUCUUUACACCUAGUGCAAACCAUAACAUGUUCUACACAAGAGUUAGAUUUACUAGCCACUUCUAGUUUAGCAUUUAAAUCAUUAUUAACACCUUUUAAAGUAGCAAUGGUUUCAUGACAAGAAGAUAAUUCACUAGAAAGCACUUCAUUUCUUUUAACUUCUAAAGCAUAAGAUUUUUGUGCCUCUACAAAUUUGUCAUGCUCUUCAUAUAAAAGAUCCUCUUGUUUUUCUAAGAGUCUAUCCUUUUCAUUCAAGGCAUCAAUCAAUUCAUUAAUCUUUUCUACUUUAGUUCUAUCCAAUCCCUUGAACAAACUAGAGUAAUCUAUUUCUUCAUCACUGGACUCAUCAUCACUAGAAGAAUCAUAAGUGACAUUGUUUUGAUUGCAUACCUUCUUCUCCCUUGCCAUAAGGCAUGUGUGACGCUCGUUGGGGAAGAGGGAUGACUUGUUGAAGGCGGUGGCGGCGAGUCCUUCAUUGUCGGAGUCGGAGGAGAAGCAAUCUGAAUCCCACUCCUUUCCGAUAUGUGCCUCGCCCUUGGCCUUCUUGUAAUGCUUCUUCUUCUCCCUUUUGUUCCCCUUUUCCUGGUCACUUUCAUUAUCGGGACAGUUAGCAAUGAAAUGACCAAUCUUACCGCAUUUGAAGCACGAGCGCUUCUCCUUUGUCUUGGUCUUGCUUGGCUGUCCCUUGCGACCUUUAAGCGCCGUCUUGAAGCGCUUAAUGAUGAGGGCCAUCUCCUCAUUAUUUAGCCCGGCCGCCUCAACUUGCGCCACCUUGCUCGGUAGCGCCUCCUUGCUCCUCGUUGCCUUGAGAGCAAUGGGUUGAGGCUCAUGAAUAGGACCGUUCAACGCGUCGUCCACAUAUCUUGCCUCCUUGAUCAUCAUUCGCCCGCUUACGAACUUCCCCAGAACUUCUUCGGGCGACAUCUUGGUGUACCUAGGAUUUUCACGAAUAUUGUUCACCAAAUGAGGAUCAAGAACGGUAAAGGACCUUAGCAUUAGGCGGACGACGUCGUGAUCCGUCCAUCGCGUGCUUCCGUAGCUCCUUAUUUUGUUGAUAAGGGUCUUGAGCCGGUUGUAUGUUUGAGUUGGCUCCUCGCCCCUUAUCAUUGCGAACCGUCCAAGCUCGCCCUCCACCAACUCCAUCUUGGUGAGUAAGGUGACAUCGUUCCCCUCAUGAGAGAUCUUGAGGGUGUCCCAGAUCUGCUUGGCAUUGUCCAAGCCGCUCACCUUAUGGUACUCGUCCCUGCACAAAGAGGCUAGCAACACAGUAGUAGCUUGUGCAUUUUUAUGAAUCUGUUCAUUAAUAAACAUGGGACUAUCCGUACUAUCAAAGUGCAUUCCACUUUCUACAAUCUCCCAUAUGCUAGGAUGGAGAGAGAACAAGUGACUACGCAUUUUGUGACUCCAAAAUCCGUAGUCCUCUCCAUCAAAAUGAGGAGGUUUACUAAGUGGAAUAGAUAAUAACUGAGCAUUAGUACUUUGAGGAAUACGAGAGUAAUCAAAAGAAAAGUACGAAUUGACCGGUUUCUUUCUCUCGUAUUCGUUGUGGUCGUCGUCCUUUUGGGAGGAAGUAGACUCAUCGCUGUCGUAGUAGACGAUCUCCUUGAUGUGUCUUGUCUUCUUCUUCUUCCCAUCUUUGCGUCUGUGGCCCGAGCCCGAGUCGUUGGACUUGUCAUCCCUUGGCUCGUUGACGAAGGACUCCUUCUCCUUGUCGUUGAUCACGAUUCCCUUCCCUUUAGGAUCCAUCUCUUCGGGCGGUUAGUCCCUUUGUGAAGAGAACGGCUCUGAUACCAAUUGAGAGCACCUAGAGGGGGGGUGAAUAGGUGAUCCUGUGAAACUUGAAAACUUAAGCCACAAAACUUGGUUAAUCGUUAGCACAAUAAUUGCCAAGUGGCUAAAUAGGAAUCCUCAACAAAAUACAAUAACCAACAAAGAUCAAUCACAGAGAUGACACGGUGGUUAUCCCGUGGUUCGGCCAAGACCAACGCUUGCCUACUCCACGUUGUGGCGUCCCAACGGACGAGGGUUGCAAUCAACCCCUCUCAAGCGGUCCAAAGACCCACUUGAAUACCACGGUGUUUUGCUUUGCUUAUCUUUAUCCCACUUGCGAGGAAUCUCCACAAAUUGGAGUCUCUCGCCCUUACACUUAAAGUUCACAAAGAAGCACGGAGUAAGGGAGGGAAGCAACACACACAAAUCCACAGCAAAAUGCGCACACACACGGCCAAGAAUCGAGCUCAAAAGACUAUCUCAAAGUUCUCACUAGAACGGAGCUCGAAUCACUGAGAAUGACAAACGAAUGCGCAAAGACUGAGUGUGGAUGAUCAAGAAUGCUCUAAGGUUGCUUGGUUUUUCUCCUCCAUGCGCCUAGGGGUCCCUUUUAUAGCCCCAAGGCGGCUAGGAGCCGUUGAGAACAAAUCUGGAAGGCCAUCCUUGCCUUCUGUCGUCGGGCGCACCGGACAGUCCGGUGCACACCGGACACUGUCCGGUGCCCGAUUUCCUUCCUUAAAUGGCGAAGCCGACCGUUGCAGAUGUGGGAGCCGUUGGCGCACCGGACAUGUCCGGUGCACACCAGACAGUCCGGUGCCCCCUUCCGACCGUUGGCUCGGCCACGUGUCGCGCGCGGAUUCCGCGGCCGACCGUUGGCCCGGCCGACCGUUGGCUCACCGGACAGUCCGGUGCACACCGGACAGUCCGGUGAAUUUUAGGCGUACGUCGCCGGUGAAUUCCCGAGAGCGGCCAGUUCGCUCGAGCCAGCAUGGCGCACCGGACACUGUCCGAUGCACCACCGGACAGUCCGGUGCCCCAGACCGAAACAGCCUCUUGGCUGUACACAGCCAACUCUUCUCUUUCCUUCUUCUUUCUGUUUCUGAUACUUAGACAAGUAUAUUAGUACACAAAACCAAUGUACUAAGACUUAGAAACAUACCUUUGCUCUUGAUUUGCACUUUGUCCAUUCAUGGGCAUAGAUUUACAUUUAAGCACUUGUGUUGGCACUCAAUCACCAAAAUACUUAGAAAUGGCCCAAGGGCACAUUUCCCUUUCAUGGAUAAAUAAGUGGGGGUGAGCAAUAAAUUUCAUCCUAGAUUUAGAAGGAAUAAAUAUAUCACUAAAUACGUUUUUUUUUACAAUGGCAAGUUAAUCAGGUGGGAGCGAGAAACAAUUCUAGCGAGGCUAGGUUGUACUAGCCCAAAAUUACAUACAACAGAGGAAAAAUGAAGAAAAUGAUGGUCUACCAAAUAUGGCGCAUGAGCCUUAAGGUGCACCUAGAGGGAAGUAGAAGAAUAAAUAUAUAAUAGCAUAUGUUUUUCGCAAUGCAAGGUAAAGUGUAGAUGUGCUCUAACUGGGCUUAGAUUGCAGCGACACAUUAUGCAUCUACAAGGCUUGGUUGCACAUGGAAAAAGAUAGAGAGAGAAAUGUAGACGCAGGACCGGGAGAAAACAUUCAAUGAGACGUGAUUGCACGGACAUAGAACUAGAUAUAAGACAAGAGUUAAAGAAAAAAAGGAACUAAAUUUUCUUGUGCACACUAAGCAUGAAUGGAGUUGUAGUAUCUGAGAUCAAAAUUUAAUUUAUUCCAAGAUGCAGAACAAAAACGUGAUAUUCGUAAUGGUUACAUAGGAACAAAAGUAGAUAAGAAAAAUAGCAAAAAGAUAGUGGUCUACCAGAGAGGGCACAUGUGCCUCAAUUGGCCUAUAGCAUAGUGGCUCAUUAUCCUUCCACCGCUGGUGGCGGGCGGUACUCGCUGCUCUGUGAAGCCAGCCUCACGCAAUGUCCGCCACUUUAGGUGUUGGGAUGCAAAGGCUUUCGCCAAGGCAUCCGAAACCCACUACACAACUUGGAAUGGGUGGUCCACAAUUUGUAGCACUAGACCCAUACACAUGCACCACAAUUGAUAUCCACACUACCUUAUUGCCCCCGCUCGGGUUACAAGCAAUCGCUACU
rnacentral:lncRNA from 1 species